rnacentral:rRNA from 1 species
AUUGAACGCUGGCGGCAUGCUUUACACAUGCAAGUCGAACGGUAACAGGCCGCAAGGUGCUGACGAGUGGCGAACGGGGGAGUAAUGCAUCGGAACGUGCCCAGUCGUGGGGGAUAACGCAGCGAAAGCUGUGCUAAUACCGCAUACGAUCUAUGGAUGAAAGCGGGGGACCGUAAGGCCUCGCGCGAGUGGAGCGGCCGAUGUCAGAUUAGGUAGGUGGUGGGGUAAAGGCUCACCAAGCCAACGAUCUGUAGCUGGUCUGAGAGGACGACCACCCACACUGGGACUGAGACACGGCCCAGACUCCUACGGGAGGCAGCAGUGGGGAAUUUUGGACAAUGGGCGCAAGCCUGAUCCAGCAAUGCCGCGUGCAGGAAGAAGGCCUUCGGGUUGUAAACUGCUUUUGUACGGAACGAAAAGGUUUGGGUUAAUACCCUGGGCCGAUGACGGUACCGUAAGAAUAAGCACCGGCUAACUACGUGCCAGCAGCCGCCGUAA